CAAAAUAAAAAAAUAAAAAAUAAAAUAAAAAAAUAAAAUA
rnacentral:rRNA from 1 species